UAUUCUUUGCUGUUUUUGUGGCAAGAAAUGGGGUCGGGGGGUUCAUGUUGGUGGGAAGAAUUCAUGUUUGUGUGAGUUUUUAAUUAACUAGGGUUGCAGUCCUGUGUGCACUUGCAGUAAACUGGGGUAUACUCACAUCCGUCAAGUGCUUCUGAAUCCAGAAACAAGGCAGAUUAUUUCAGUGCUUCCUUUCAAAUGAACCCGAGUGCAACACUUUCUCUCACUGUGAGCCCAAGUUCAAGGGAUUAUGGGUUUUAAAUAAGAAAUGUGUGCACAUUGUCUUUAUCAAAAGGAGUCCAUUACCACUUGCUAUUAGCAGACUAGAUAGAGCUCUUAAGGGCAGACAAAUCAUACAAUGUUCUUAAGGCCAAGCUUAUUUUUAUUUCAUUAUAAUUAUUCUACCACUUGAUUGUAAGAAACAAUCUCAAAACACAAAUGAAUAUUCUGUGGAAUAUUUUAUAUGGUUACCAAAUUUUGUAGUGCAUUGUUAUUUGCUUAUUAGUCCAAUGUUUGAUUAUUUGAAUCAAGUUUGUAUGUCAGUCACACUAGGCAUGAGAAGAGCUGACAUGUAAAAUUAAGCUGCCAUGUUGAAUCCGUCUACAUCAUUUUGUGCCUAUCAAAGCAGGGAGGUGCCAUGCAGAAAUAAUCCAUUGCUACCAUCACCCCAAUCUUUGAUGAUAUUUGGGAAUUGCUAUCAACCUGACAAAGAGAGGGAGAUUCCCUGAUGCACCCCAUACUAGAACUGUCAGUCCAGAACAAUUCCAAAAGUUUCACUAUACUCCAAAAGAAUGGCCUCUUGUGCUUUAGGGGCCAGGAAAAUGCAGAGAAUUGUCUAAGUUGAGCAUGGAUUGGUUAAAACAACUUUAGAAUUGAUAAGUACUAUAGGAGCAAGUACCUACCAAAAUAUUUCAUGGUCCUGUGACUAGAUCUAACUGUGGGUGGAGAGACAGUCCUGAGUCCUAAGUAAACAUUUGGGCUGAAACUAAGUCUCAGCUAAAACAGCCCCCUGCUUUUCUAGAGCGAGCAAUAUCUGGUGGACAUAAAAGGGAUUUUUGUGUUUGGGUAAAUUUCUUAAUACUGUUUUGGGGGAGUAGGCUGCUUAGAGGGUUAUCUGAUUGGUGCAAGGUGGCACAGGCCAGCAAUAGGUCUGCUUUUUGGUAACUUGUAAAACCAAAAAGCUUCAUUGCUGCUUCCAGUGGUCGUAAACCUGUGGGUCCAAUGGGAAUGUUGCCAUACCAGUAUUGAUAUGUUAUACUGUGCUGUUAUGUUGCACUUCGGAGGGUUUCCAUUACAGUCAUACAUUGAAAGUUGAACAGCAUCUGUUCCAAAAGUCCGUUCGACUUCCAAAAUGUUCAGAAACCAAAGCAUGGCUUCUGAUUCGCUGCAAGAAGCUUCUGCAGCCCAUCAUAAGCCACAGAAACCCCAUUGGAUGUUCAGCUUCCCAAAAUAGUUUGCAAACUGAAACAGUCACUUCCAGGUUUGCGGCGUUUGGGAGCCAAAACGUUCGAGAACUAAGCUGUUCGAAAACCAGUGUAUGACUGUAGUUCAAUGGUCUUGGUGGAAUAAAAUGGACCUAAAUCAAAGAAUUUGUAGAUAAAGUAGAAUCUACAACUAUAUUCCAUAGAAACAUUGGAUUAAAACAUUUACAGCUGAAUAGGAAACAAUGCAAAACCAAGCAUGCAAAAUCAAGCAUGCACAGAUGUAGCUUUGCUGAAUUUUCAUGCAUAAACUAGAUGCCAUUGCUUUAAGAAUAAGAAUUACCUAAUCUGUGCCUUCUUUUUCUUUGCAUUUCCCUUUUAUUCUCUAGAAUGACAAGAAGUUGGAAGCUUCAGCCCAUCUAAUCACAAAAUGUGCCUUUCACUUUGACUGCUAUCCCAAACGUUCUUGGAGGUUUAUGACUUUUUGGCCCUAUUCCAAUAGUACAAGACUAUAAAUUACAUGCUAUUUUUAAUGUGCACAAAAUAAUGUUUUAUAAUUAACCAUUAUGCAUUUAAAUCUUUGCAAGGUAGGAGAUACCUACAGGCUAAUCUGUAAAAUGAUUUUAUAACCAACUUCACAAGCAGAUGUGACCUUCUGUACUUUUCAAUGAUAAGUAUCUUGAUACUAUGGGUGAAAUUUGGUGCUGCUGUUCUGCUCAUUGAAUAGCUUUCGAUCCCAUGGAAGUGCCUGCUAACAUAAGCAAGUUCCACAAAUUCCUCUUGCCCCCUUGCCCCCUUCCAUACUGGGGGUUUUUUUUGGGGGGGGGGAGAGGCAGGCUCCCAGUCUUCAAGGGGAUCAGCAAAAAUCACCUACCUUCUCUUACAUUAAUGAAUGAUGCCGCCGGAAGAAAACCAAAAAACUUCUGCAUAUACACUGUAAACACAGGUCUGUCUACUCUCUGUAGUGAUACAGUGUUGUAAGAGUUUGUAAUCCAUCCUAGAACCCUGGAGUGAAGAGCAGGCAAUAAAUUGUACUACUACUACUUCUUCUUCUUCUUCUACUACUACUACUAUUACUACUACUACUUAUUAUUAUUAUUAUUACAAAAGAGAAAUUUAACAGGAAAAACAGGAAGGUUGGCAUGUAUAACAAGGAUGGAUGGGAGCAGAGGGCAGGUAAAGAAAUACCUAAUCAGUGUGUGUGUGUCUGCUGGGGGUCUGCAUGCUUUCUGAUGAGCCCCACAAGAGUGCUGCCAGUUGCUUUGGUGUAGUGGUAAAUUUCAUUUUCAGGCUUGUUGUAAACAAUAUUCAAACAGUUUUUGCUGUUGUGGCAAAGAGGCGGUGAAUAUGUGUUCCGGGACAAACUCACUUCAUAAUGCCUUCCUCUGGGAAAGACUCCACAUCUCAGACAACCUCAGAAAGCCCCGGUUUUCGGAGUGCCGCCAGCCUCUUUACUGGAGUGGUAAAUAAGGUUCAGAUGAAUGCUAAACUUUAAAGAGAGUUUGCUAUGGCAAAAAUGGCAGCAGCACCCUGAGGCAGCAGCUGACAGUGGCUGGCUCCAUGGCCUUGGCCAGUAGGCAAACCUGGGUGUCAGCUUUGAGGGAUGGCAGCAGUAGUGGGCCCUGCAGGCAGCAGUGGUGGAUGGUGAGGUGAACAAUAUGUUCCAGAACCUACAACCCCUCAGAUGUUGUUGGACUCCAAUUCCUAUCAGCCACAGUCAGCAGUCACUUGACAGGGAUGAUGGGAGUUGUUUCCCAAUAACAGUUGGAGGGCAACAGAUUCACUCAUUGGCUUUCUACAUGCAGUACCCAAGCUAGUGAUGGUUAGGAUUACAACUUACAUGUAUUUAUUAGCCCACGACAAUAUAUGAAUAAUUCAAGUUGGUCAGCAAGGGGCUGUAAGGUAUUUCUUCAUGUCCUUGUGGGUUUCUUGUCUCACUAUAAUAUUCCCUGAGUAAAAGCAGAAAGAGAAGA